AUUGAACGCUGGCGGCAGGCCUAACACAUGCAAGUCGAACGGUAACAGGAAGCAGCUUGCUGCUUUGCUGACGCGUGGCGGACGGGUGAGUAAUGUCUGGGAAACUGCCUGAUGGAGGGGGAUAACUACUGGAAACGGUAGCUAAUACAGCAUAACGUCGCAAGACCAAAGAGGGGGACCUUCUGGCCUCUUGCCCUCUGGUGUGCCCAGAUGGGAUUAGCUAGUAGGUGGGGUAACGGCUCACCUAGGCGACGAUCCCUAGCUGGUCUGAGAGGAUGACCAGCCACACUGGAACUGAGACACGGUCCAGACUCCUACGGGAGGCAGCAGUGGGGAAUAUUGGACAAUGGGCGCAAGCCUGAUGCAGCCAUGCCGCGUGUAUGAAGAAGGCCUUCGGGUUGUAAAGUACUUUCGGCGGGGAGGAAGGGAGUAAAGUUAAUACCUUGGCUUAUUGACGGUACCCGCAGAAGAAGCACCGGCUAACUCCGUG
rnacentral:rRNA from 1 species